rnacentral:rRNA from 1 species
UACGAAGGGGGCUAGCGUUGCUCGGAUUCACUGGGCGUAAAGGGUGCGUAGGUGGUUAGGUAAGUCCGCUGUGAAAUCUCCAGGCUCAACCUGGAAAUGGCAUUGGAUACUAUCUAGCUUGAGGAGUGGAGGGGGGACUGGAAUUCUCGGUGUAGCAGUGAAAUGCGUAGAUAUCGAGAGGAACACCAGUGGCGAAGGCGAGUCCCUGGACACCUCCUGACACUGAGGCACGAAAGCUAGGGGAGCAAACAGG